rnacentral:rRNA from 1 species
UACGGGGGGGGGCAAGCGUUGUUCGGAAUUACUGGGCGUAAAGGGCGCGUAGGCGGUUUGCUAAGUUGGAUGUGAAAACUCUGGGCUUAACCCAGAGCCUGCAUCCAAAAACUGGCAAACUUGAGUACUGGAGGGGAAAGCGGAAUUCCUGGUGUAGCGGUGAAAUGCGUAGAUAUCAGGAGGAACACCGGUGGCGAAGGCGGCUUUCUGGACAGUAACUGACGCUAAGGGCGCGAAAGCUAGGGGAG